CUCACUUCUCGGCCUUUUGGCUAAGAUCAAGUGUAGUAUCUGUUCUUAUCAGGAAUAUGUCACAAAGCCAGCAGUUAGUAGACGUUUGAAUAAAUUGAUCACAUGCACACACACACU
ensembl:snRNA U2 U2 spliceosomal RNA